rnacentral:rRNA from 1 species
AAUAUUGCACAAUGGGCGCAAGCCUGAUGCAGCGACGCCGCGUGAGCGAUGAAGGUCUUCGGAUCGUAAAGCUCUGUCCUUGGGGAAGAAGGUCUUCGGACUUGACGGUACCUAAGGAGGAAGCCCCGGCUAACUACGUGCCAGCAGCCGCGGUAAUACGUAGGGGGCGAGCGUUGUCCGGAAUUAUUGGGCGUAAAGGGUGCGUAGGCGGCUUUUUAAGUCAGAUGUGAAAGACCACGGCUUAACCGUGGGGUUGCAUUUGAAACUGGAAGGCUUGAGUAUCGGAGAGGGUAGUGGAAUUCCCAGUGUAGCGGUGAAAUGCGUAGAUAUCGGGAGGAACACCAGUGGCGAGGGCGACUUUCUGGCUCAUAACUGACGCUCAGGCGCGAAAGCUGGGGGAGCGAAC